AUAUCAUGAAGAUUGAAAUAACAGUACUGUGUUAGAAUUGUGUUAAAAUCGUGUAACAAUUGUACACAUCAUCGCUUGAAAAUGCAAAUGUAUUUUUCAAUGUUAAUGGAACUUGGAAAUUGUUUCUUUUUCAUUUUUUUUGUAUUUCCGUUGAAUCAUAUAUUUAAGUUGAGUAUUGGGCAUUAUUUUUUUUUAAUGUGUGUAUGUUCUUUUUAUUUGAUAUCUUUAAUUUGCAUGUUUUUUUUAUGAAUGAAUAAUUGUAACAAAUGUUAAUUAAGCAAUACUUGCCUGUCUGGCAAUUUAUUGUAUUAUAAAUUAAAAUAUUGUAAAUGUUAGGUAUGAUAUUUUUUUGCUUUUGUUGUGCAUGUUUUAACAACCUUUUGUUGGUAAUUGCAUUAAAAAAACGUAUAAAUAAUAAGCAUAUUGAAAUAGAAAGGUUUUUUUCUAUAGUAAAUUAAAAGGUUUUAUAGUCUAGCAUAUACUUUCAAUCAAAGGAACAUUAAGAAUAGAACUUGUUGACAAUGAGAAAGCAUUUAUUUAUGACAUACUAGCUAGCAUAUAUAUAAUUUGUAAUUCUACCUGUAAGCAAGUUCAUUGACAUACAGACUAACAACAAUGCAGUCUCGUCUACUUCAAGUUACUCAAGGGAGUGCAAGUUCAAGAAUGAAUACAUUUUGUUGUUCAAUACAGGUCAGAUUGUAAUUCUACCUGUAAGCAAGUUCAUUGACAUACAGACUAACAAUAAUGCAGUCUCGUCUACUUCAAGUUACUCAAGUGAAGUCAAGUUCAAGAAUGAAUACAUUUUUGUUGUUGAAGUAAGAGCAUUUCAAUACAGGUCAGAUUGUCCUUACAGUAAAUCAAUAUUUAAAAAAAAAAAUGUUUUUCAGGACAAUAGCCAUUGUUAUAUCAUAGUUCGUUUCUGUGUGUGUAACAUUCUUACAUUGUGUUUCCGUUGUGUCGUUUGUUUUCUCUUAUAUUUUAGUGUGAAUUAACAUUACUUUAAGACGUGUCACGGUACUUUUCUAUCCCAAAUUCAUGUAUUUGGUUUUGAUGUUAUAUUUGUUAUUCUCAUCGGAUUUUGUCUAAUGCUUAGUCCGUUUCUGUGUGUGUUACAUUUUAAUGUUGUGUCGUUGUUCUCCUCUUAUAUUUAGUGCAUUUCCCUCAGUUUUGGUUUGUUACUCCGAUUUUGUUUUUUGUCGAUGAUUUACGAGGUUUGGACAGCGGUAUACUAUUGUUGCCUUUAUUUUUCAAAGAAACAGCUUAAAUAAUUACACUUCUAUUUUUUUUUCCGGCAGCCAUGUCAAAUAUCAUCUGGUUUCAUAUUUCAUAUUUUUCAAUUCUACCUCAAAGAGAUAUUAACUUUUAUUGUGUUCCUUGCUUUUUUAACAUAUUGAAAAUAAUUUUGAAAAAAAAUGUUUCGUACAAAUGUAUAGGUAUACUUGAUACAUGACAUCUUACUGCAUUUGCAGAUCCACAUCUGUAUUUUACAAACAUGUAUGUUUCGAUAAAUAUAAAAACGUAUAGUGGCCACCCUCAAUAGAAGUAAAAUUUCUAUAUGUACAUUGAAUGCUGCUGCAAUAAGAACCAUUGAUGUGAUAAUAAAUCACUCACUUACCUGUUUUCGUGACUCAUGUGUUAUUAAAUGACUCAUCAUGAUAAAUAUUUACCAUGACAUGAUACGUAUGUGUGUACUUUUUGUCAUGAUUAGCCCUAAUUGCCAUUUGUCAUGUUUAUUUUUACUUUAAAUAUUAAUUUUGCGUUUUUCUAACCAUAUAUAUGUAUCAACAAAUUAAGAUCUUUUGCGGUCAUACUGAUUGUUAUAAUUCAUGAUUACUUCCAGAGUUUUAAGUCUCCUAUCCAGUUAGAAUAGAUAUUGAAUCGUGUUGCAAAAAUCAAGUAAUCAUACUUGUGGAGACAGCACAAAACACUGUGAUUCUCAAAUUUUGUUUAAACAGCCAUAUCAAAUGCUAAUAAGCAAAAGCAGUAGUUUACCAAUGUUUCAAUUAAGUGUUUUGAUAACCAAACCAACUUUUAAAAAAACCCGUCAGAAUAGCAUACACUCAAAACGGAGCAAUACGGGAGAUCCAACAGGGUAGCUGUCUCCUUCCAAUUAUCUUCUGACAUGCAUAGUAAUAAACUACAAUUCGAAAAAAAAAAAAGAAAAACAGAAAGGUUUUUGAAAUGUACAUGUACUACUGUAUAGUAUGCACAUAUACACAGCCAAGUAACACUGAUUUUAGGAGUUCCUUAUAAGACCGUUGUAUUAUAGUUUUUCAUUGAUUUACUCGAAGUAAAUUAUUGUUACUUUUUGGUACAUUGAUAUUCACUUUGACUCGCCUGUGUCAAUUUAACCUUUACAAUCCAAGUCAACGAAAUCGAAAUUUUAUAAAGUUAUUUUUAUUUUUUUUUAUGUGAUCGCAUGCUUUGUUUUCUUAUCUUAAAUGAAAGUUUAAUGUAUUAUUAUCCAAAUUAACUCAUUAUGCAAUAAUGUAAUAACCGUCUAUGCAAUUAUCAAUCAAUCAAUCGCCCAAUAUUCUUUUGUGUAAAAUGGGGCAUUUGCGGGAGCUCUUGUCAAGAUGACAUAGUUUAUUUUUGUUUCUAAGUUUUAAUAAGAAUACGUUGUUGUUUGUUGCUUUUUUGUUGUUGCCUUUUUUCAAUGUAGCAUGCAUUUUUUUUAAGAUUUCAAAAAGAAUAUAUUUUUCUAACAAAGUUAUGAUCUUCGACUGUUGUAAAGAAUAAUAUGAAAGAAAAACAAAUAAAUAUUUUUUAUCAAAAUUUAUUAGUCAAGGUUUAUCUUUCCAUGGGUAUUCAAAAUAAGUAAAAUAUAUAUCAGUAUUCAACAUGAGUUAACUUACCUCAAUGUAUAUACCUGCAUCAGACGCGCCCUUCAUCUACAAAAGACGCAUCAGUGACGCUUGAAUGAAAAAAGUUAAAAAGUUCAAAGGAAAUAGGAAGUUGAUGGGCAUUAAGGACUCAAAAUUCCGAUUUUUUGGGGGCUGAAUACAGCUCAUGUUCUCGAAUCAUGGUGUGGUUAAUCCUAUGGUAAAUAAAUGCGCAUCAUCUACAUGUCAAAUGAAUAUAUUCUUCAAAAAUGCUUCAUCAGAGAAAACAAAAAAUCAGAAC
rnacentral:lncRNA from 1 species